GGAGGGAUGGCCGAGUGGUUGAAGGCGCACGACUCGAAAUCGUGUAGGCUCGCAAGAGUCUCGAGGGUUCAAAUCCCUCUCCCUCCGCCA
rnacentral:tRNA from 2 species